UCCAGACUCCUACGGGAGGCAGCAGUGAGGAAUAUUGGUCAAUGGGCGGGAGCCUGAACCAGCCAAGUCGCGUGAGGGAAGACGGUCCUAUGGAUUGUAAACCUCUUUAGGCGGGGAGCAAUGCCGGGCACGCGUGCCCGGAGGGAGAGUACCCGCAGAAUAAGCAUCGGCUAACUCCGUGCCAGCAGCCGCGGUAAUACGGAGGAUGCGAGCGUUAUCCGGAUUUAUUGGGUUUAAAGGGUGCGUAGGCGGUAUUUUAAGUUAGUGGUAAAACGUCGGGGCUUCACCUUGAUUGGCCAUUAAAACUGGAGUACUAGAGUACAGACGAGGUAGGCGGAAUAAGUUAAGUAGCGGUGAAAUGCUUAGAUAUAACUUAGAACCCCGAUAGCGAAGGCAGCUUACCAGACUGUUACUGACGCUGAAGCACGAGAGCGUGGGUAGCGAACAGGAUUAGAUACCCCUGUAAG
rnacentral:rRNA from 1 species